rnacentral:rRNA from 1 species
GUCUCAGUUCAGAUUGCAGGCUGCAACUCGCCUGCAUGAAGUCGGAAUUGCUAGUAAUCGCAGAUCAGCAUGCUGCGGUGAAUACGUUCCCGGGCCUUGUACACACCGCCCGUCACACCAUGGGAGUCGGUAACACCCGAAGUCGGUAGCCUAACCGUAAGGAGGGCGCCGCCGAAGGUGGGAUUGAUGACUGGGGUGAAGUCGUAACAAGGUACC